CAUUACAGUAGACUGCCAGUUGUCUCUGUGAAACUUCGCUGCUCGGUGGGAUCCAGGCGGGAAGAGGUUAAAUUUCCUCUCUGGGAAAGAUUCGGGUCUAUGGAGGGGGUAGAAAGGCGCAUACCAACUGACGAGGCAUUCCGCUUUCCUUGAAUGAAAUCCUGUGAAUAUGAAUCCGUAUUCCCCCCCACUCGCCUGAGGUUCGGUGUCUGCGACGCGCACAAGUGAUCGGAGUUGCAGCGGAGGAGAAACGGGGGGGAAAGUGAUGGAAAAGUUGCAGUGAUCUUGUGUCUGGAUCCGGUGGAUGAGAGAGGAUAGGACUAACUUGCAAAGUUUCCGAUCUCAAGUGACACAUUCAGAACUGGAUUGAAAUAAUGUGACUGCAAGCAGUUUAGCGUGGACUCUGGCGACCGCUGGCGUGAUUUCACGCACUUUUGGACUUAAGUUUUGCUUUGCGCUGGAAUUAUUACUUUGCUUCUUUUUUUUUUGCACAAAGGAACUAAACGAUUUAAAUAACACAGCCUGGUUGAUCAGUGAGAGCAGCAACGGGAUGAAUCCAAAGAAAGGAUAGAGCUCUGUCACUUCUGCGCUGAGAGAUUCUAGCACACAUUUAACACAUGCUAUCAUUCAGUUGAACUGGACUACUGGAACAGAACAUGUGUUGAAAUCUCGGACUGUUUCUCUAUUAUUCUUUCCCAUCUCAACUCCCCAAUUUCACCUACACCAAGAAGCCAUAUCAGGCUCGUGUUGGACUGAUCUUGGACUUUUAUAAUUUGCGUUUGGGGACUCACAAACCAAAAUCACUGUGUUUGUUUUUAAACUGUGGAUUUUAAGAUUUUUCAUUUUGAGUGCAGUUUGACAUGAAGAAGCGGAUGCCUCAAUUUUUAUUUAAAUAAUUUGGAUUAUACGAGAACAUUUCUCACAAGAGAGACGUUGAAUGAUGUCUCCAACUUUAAUUGGAUUUGUAUUUCUGUUAGGAAUUCUCCAUGUGUGCUCAGGAUCCCGUCUGCGCCAAGAGGACACCCCACCCCGGAUUGUGGAGCAUCCCUCUGACCUGAUUGUUUCCAAAGGGGAGCCCGCAACUCUCAACUGUAAAGCAGAGGGGCGUCCAACCCCAACAGUGGAGUGGUACAAGGAUGGAGAGCGGGUGGAAACGGACAGGGACAAUCCCCGUUCUCAGCGCAUGCUUCUUCCCAGUGGCUCUCUCUUCUUCCUGCGCAUCGUCCAUGGACGGCGGAGUAAACCGGAUGAAGGUUCUUACGUCUGUGUUGCUCGCAACUACCUGGGAGAAGCAGUGAGCCACAACGCCUCGCUGGAAGUAGCCAUUCUACGUGACGACUUCAGACAAAAUCCUGCAGAUGUGAUUGUGGCAGCGGGAGAGCCGGCAGUCCUGGAGUGUCAGCCUCCUCGUGGACAUCCUGAACCCACCAUAUCAUGGAAAAAAGAUGGAGUGAAUAUUGACGACAGAGAUGAGAGAAUUACUAUACGUGGAGGGAAAUUGAUGAUUACAAAUGCCCGGAAAAGCGAUGCUGGGAAGUAUGUGUGCGUCGGCACAAAUAUGGUUGGAGAACGUGAAAGCGAAAUAGCUGAACUUACAGUGCUUGAGCGCCCCAGCUUUGUCCGUCGCCCGAGUAGUCAGGUAGUGUUAGUGGACCAAAGCGUAGAGUUCAGGUGUGAGGCCCGUGGCGAUCCAGUUCCCACUGUCCGCUGGAGGAAAGAUGAUGGUGACCUGCCGAAAGGAAGGUAUGAAAUUCGUGAGGACCACACCCUGAAGAUCCGUCGUCUGGUCUCUGCUGAUGUGGGCUCCUACACAUGUGUGGCAGAGAAUAUGGUGGGCAAGGCAGAGGCAUCAGCUACGCUCACUGUCCACGUUGUGUCUGUACCGCCAGCAUUUGUGGUAAGACCGAAGAACCAGGUGGUUGGAGUUGGCAGAACUGUCACCUUCCAGUGUGAGGCCACUGGAAACCCACAACCGGCCAUUUUCUGGCAGCGGGAAGGUAGUCAGAACCUGCUGUUCUCCUACCAACCUCCUCAACCCUCCAGUCGAUUUUCAGUGUCUCAGACUGGGGAUCUGACCAUCACUGAUGCUGUGCGCUCAGACGGGGGAUACUACAGCUGCCAGGCCCUCAACAUUGCUGGCAGUGUGAUCACCAAGGCUCUGCUAGAGGUCACAGAUGUUGUGUCAGACCGCCCGCCACCAGUCAUCCGCCAAGGCCCAACCAAUCAGACGGUGGCUGUGGAUGGCACGGUUGUUCUUAACUGUGUGACAUCUGGUAACCCUACACCCACCAUCCUGUGGAGGAAGGACGGCGUCUUAGUGUCCACACAUGACUCCAGGGUCAAGCAGCUGGACACAGGUGCACUGCAGAUACGCUAUGCAAAGCUCAGUGACACUGGCACCUACACCUGCACUGCCUCCACACCCAGUGGAGAGGCCUCUUGGAAAGCCUAUUUAGAGGUCCAAGAAUCUGGGGCCCCAUUCCAGCCAAACAGACCUACUGACCCAAACCUGAUCCCCAGCGCUCCUUCCAAACCUGAGGUCACUGAUGUUACCCGUAGCUCUGUCACGCUUUCCUGGAAACCUAACCUUAAUGCUGGAGCCACGCCCACUUCCUAUAUCAUAGAAGCCUUCAGUCAUGCAUCAGGAAGCAGCUGGCAGACCUUGGCAGAGCAUGUGAAAACUGAGUCAUUUGUACUGAAGGGCUUGAAGCCCAGUGCAGUCUACCUCUUCUUAGUACGGGCAGCCAAUGCCUACGGGCUGAGCGAUCCCAGUCCAAUCACUGAUGCUGUGAAAACACAAGAUAUCCCUCCCACCAGUCAGGGUGUGGACCAUCGUCAGAUUCAGAGGGAGCUAGGAGAUGCGGUCAUCCACCUGCACAACCCCACUAUUCUCUCCUCCUCAUCUGUCAGGGUUCAGUGGACAGUGGAGCAGCAGUCACAGUACAUCCAGGGCUACAAGGUGAUGUACAGGCCUUCACCAGAGGGGCAACAGAGGAGUGAAUGGGCCGUGUUUGAGGUGCGAACCCCUGGGGAGGGCAGCGCCGUCGUGCCGCACCUUCGGAAGGGCGUCACAUACGAAUUCAAAGUCCGCCCCUUCUUCAAUGAAUUCCAGGGAACAGACAGUGAUGUCAAAAUUGGCAAGACGCUGGAGGAAGCCCCCAGUGCCCCUCCUCGUAAGGUUACAGUGACAGAGAGUGGGGACAAUGGGACUGCCAUCAUCGUCUCCUGGCAACCCCCUCCAGAAGAGGAGCAGAAUGGGGUGGUCCAGGAGUACAAGAUUUGGUGCUUGGGGAAUGAGACUAGGUACCACAUCAACCGUACAGUUGAUGGCUCAACCUUCUCCGUGCUGAUUCCCAGUCUGGCCCCGGGGAUCCGCUACAGUGUGGAGGUAGCAGCCAGCACUGGUGCAGGUCCAGGGGUCAAGAGUGAUGUCACUUUCUUUCAGCUCGAUGCUUCUGGGCGAAUGACAGACACAGUGAACCAGGAGAACCCCCUGUCCCAGCAGAUCUCAGAUGUGGUCAAACAGCCAGCAUUUAUAGCAGGCAUAGGAGCUGCUUGUUGGAUUAUCCUCAUGGUCUUCAGCAUCUGGUUGUACAGACACCGAAAGAAGCGGAAUGGCCUGUCCAGCAGCUAUGCAGGUAUACGCAAAGUGCCAUCCUUCACUUUUACACCAACAGUGGCAUAUCAGAGAGGUGGAGAAGGUGUCAGCAGUGCUGGAAGGCCGGGUUUACUAAACAUUGGGGACUCUGCCACUCAACCCUGGCUGGCUGACACAUGGCCCAACUCAUGUUCCAACCACAAUGACUGCAGCAUCAACUGCUGCACUGCUGGCAAUGGCAACAGCGACAGCAACUUGGCAACAUACAGCCGACCAGCCGACUGUAUCGCCAAUUAUAACAACCAGAUGGAAAACAAGCAGACCAACCUCAUGGUGCCUGAGUCAGGAGUCUAUGGAGAUGUAGACCUGUCCAACAAGAUCAAUGAGAUGAAGACCUUCAACAGCCCAAACCUUAAAGAUGGCCGCUUUGUAGGUCCAGGGGGCCAGCCGACACCUUAUGCCACCACUCAGCUCAUCCAGUCCUCCAUUAUGGGAAACAACAUGAACUCAGACAGAGGGACUGGAGGGAGUGGAGGUGGACUCGUGGGUGGAGGAGAGGUGAAUGAGAAACACUGCUGGAAGCCCCCCUCAGUCCAGCAGCAGAAACAGGAAAUAAGCUCCCAGCUGCAGUACAACAUCAUGGAGCAAAACAAGCUGAACAAGGAUCGCUACAGAGGAGGUGACAGCCCUAUGCCAGCCACCAUUCCCUACAGCCAGACUCAUGACAGCCACACUGGGGGCUCCUACAACAGCUCUGACCGGGGCAGCAGUAGUACCUCCGGGAGUCAGGGUCAAAAGAAGGGAGUGCGCACCCCCAAAGUACCCAAACAAAGCACAAUGAAUUGGGCUGACCUUCUGCCCCCUCCUCCUGCAAACCCACCCCCAUCUCGGAACACAGAGGAAUACUCUCUACCGAUGGAAGAAAGCUGUGAUCCAGACAUGCAGUGCCCCAUGCCCCCCUCUCACAUGUACCUGCAGCCUGAUGAGCUGGAGGAGGAAGAAGAGAUGGAGAGGGGGCCCACUCCUCCCAUCCGUGGGGCAGCUUCUUCCCCUGCUGCCGUGUCUUACAGUCACCAGUCCACAGCCACUCUCACCCCCUCACCCCAGGAGGAGAUGCAGCCGAUGCUCCAGGAUGCCCCAGACAGCCAUGAACGCAGGCGCCAUGCUGUGAGCCCCCCACCCCCUCCCAGGCCCAUGUCUCCUUCACACACAUAUGGGUAUAUCAACACCCCGUUAGCCUUGGACACGGAUGGUAUGGAGGAGGAGGACAUACUGGAGGAAGAGGAAGACGGCGAUGAGACGGAUGCAGAAGUGGCUAAGAUGCACUACCACCACACCCACCCCCACACAAACCCUCACCAUCCCCAGAUGCAUCCGCGGAGGUUGCUACUACGAGGGCUAGAACAGACGCCUGCAUCCAGCAUGGGAGACCUGGAGAGCUCAGUGACGGGCUCCAUGAUCAACGGAUGGGGGUCAGCUUCCGAAGAGGAUAAUGUCUCUUCGGGGAGAUCCAGUGCAGUCAGCUCAUCAGAUGGAUCCUUUUUCACAGACGCCGACUUUGCUCAAGCGGUUGCUGCAGCUGCAGCUGCAGAGUAUUCAGGCCUCAGGGUGGCAAAGUACCCUAGUUCACAGGGCCAAGACGUUGGGGGAGCUUCGGCGCGAAAAUACCAAAUAAACCCAUCAAGCCACCGUCCUGGCAGCCCGGUGUCUACAGACAGUAACAUGAGUAUGGCCGCUGUACACAGGAGGCCUCCUAAAAAGCAGAAACAACAUCCUGUAGGUCAUCCAGCGAACCAGCGACGUGAAGUUUUCAAUGAAGAUCUCCCACCUCCACCCAUCCCCCCUCCAGCAGUGCUCAAGUCCCCUACACACCCUUCCAAGGUAGCUCUGGAGGGCCGGGGAGUGAUUUCCCCCAAAGCCGGUGAAGUUCGAGACAAGAGAGGAGGAACAGGGGGAUAUCGAGCCCGAGAGGACUCGGACCCCAGAACCAGCUCAUCUGAACGCAAAGAUGCUCAGGAUAGACAAAAGACUGCUCACGGAGGGAAAGGGAAUAAACAUGAGAGUAGCACUACCAACAAAGCGCGCCAGCAUGCAGGUUCAGAGGACAUUAUGCCGUAUAGCCGACCACAGUUCCCUACAGUCAACAGCCCCCGAGACCCAAGCUCCUCUAGCUCCAUGUCCUCCCGGGGCUCAGGGGGCCGGCGGAGAGGAGAAGGAGGGCGAAGGAACCCUGCAGAUAUGGGCCUCAACACCUCCGGAGCCUUCCAACCAGGAGAUGAAGAGAUAGAGAUGGUAGAAAGCUGAAGAAGGAGGAAAAGGACAGACUGUUCUGAUUUUUUUCCAAGAAUGGAGCACCAUUGUUUCUCUUACAGUUUUAAAUAUCUUAGUAUUUCACCAUCAUGUUGGCUGCCCUCAUACUGUACAUCAGUAGUGUUUCUUUACAUCUGGAAAACAGACCAAUGUUUUUUUUUUCUAACUUAUCAUUUUAUAUGUCCAUUGAAAAAAAACGAAAGAGUGAAGAAAAAAAUGGUGCAUUCAAAACAAAAUACACAGUAGUAUAUUUAUGUUUAAUUCCAAUGCAAUAUGGAGUGAAAUCUUACUCCAGAUAUUGACAUGACUCAGCUUGCCUUGAAAAGAACUUUGGAAAGCCCAUACAGUGAGAUGUUACUGUAAUAAAUUAGCUGCAAGCAAAGAGAGGUGGACUGUCUGUAAAUAUACAUGUAUACAUGAUGUCUUCUUGUUUUACCCAUUGUGGUACCUCAAAAUUGUCUUCCUUGUUUUAUUUUUUGCAAAUUCUAAUUUUAUUAUGCCAGUAAAUAUAAUUAUUUUAUCAAUUCCAUCCAUGUUGUAAAUUGCUAUAUUAUUUAGCUUCCCCAAGAAAGUGCCACUUUGGGAUUUUUUCCUUUUUUUUUUUUUGUAAUGCACUGUUAUGUUUUGUGUCGUCAUCAAUGUUUGUUAUUUGUUUUACUUUGGUUUUAAAAGCACAAUCACUAAACUUUAUUUUAAACCAUUCUAUCUAUUAACCUUUUUGUCUUACUGGAGGAAAACAGGUAUGACAAAAGAGUCUAGUUAAUCCUGAUGAUGAUGAUGAUGAUGAUGUUGUAGGUAAAGAUUGCCGUUUACAAAGGCUGUGCUUGAAAGGAGACUCCUUAUGUUGUGAUUGUCUUCCUCUCCAGUUCUGACGCAAGUGAUGACAACGACAGUUAAUGUGAGUCAUAGCUGCAAUGUAAAUACCUUUUCACAUUGACCAUAAACUCAGCUAUUGCACAUUAAUUGAAAUGGUAAUGCUGACUCCGAAUGCACUUAAAUGAAUGUCAAAUACAGGAAAAAUGUCACUUUGGGAAUCUGGAGAGGUUGUAAUUGGACAAGAAGAGUCUCUUUUCUUGAUACUAAAGGGCUGAUUGAGCCCUGUUUUAAGAAGAAAGGGUGCUGUUGUUUAUUCAUAGGACAUCUGCAAACAUUUGUUUCGUAAAGCAAAAAAGUAAAAAGAACUUUAAAAAAAGAUGAAUAAAAAAAGUUCAAAUUA